ACUCAAAUAGUUUAAAUGAAAAAAAUAUUAGUUUGUGGCGCUUAAGAUGUAACUUUUACUUUGAGUA
rnacentral:tRNA from 1 species